AAUUGAAAGCACGAGGAAGGCUGGCCAAAAUGUUCAACUUGCGGCUAGUGAUUGACAGGUAUGAUUAUAUCUUGGGGCUCUUGUGGGGAGCGUGGUGUCGGACGGAAAAAAGAUUUCCAGUAUUCAUAUAUAUAUAAAUGUCGAUCUGAUGUGGAAAAUUGUGAGUUUUUUUUUUAAUAGCACAAAGAAAAAGACGUUAGAAGAGUAACAAUGUGUAACUAUAAACGAAUUACUCGUUUAUAAUCUACGAGACUGAUCAGAUCGAAGUUUGAUAAAAAAAAAAAAAAAAAAAAAAAAAAAACAUUCAAUAUCAAACCUUCUUGGUUGGAGAAAACAUGUUCAAUGUAUACCUGC
rnacentral:lncRNA from 1 species